rnacentral:tRNA from 1 species
AGUAAAAUGCCUGACUAAAAGGGUUAUCUUGAUAGGAUAAUAUAUGUAAAUUCGAUUACUUUUACUA